GCAGCAGCAGACGGAGGCCUCUGGAACAUCCACGGUACGCUCAGCGCUAAACACCGGACACCAACUAAACGGAUUAUUAUAAAGGGACCCUGAACGCCCCAUCCAGUCGCUGGGUCACAGGUCAUGAUGAGUCCUCUGUUCCUGCUUUGCCUAACUCUCCCUUUCAUCUCUGCUACGCUCUCGUCUGAAAAACACCACGAUGUGGACGGUACUCUGCGGGUCAGCAUCCCUCUGGAGUCGUCUCUUCGUCCUCUGCUCGGCGGUAAAGUCGUAGUUCCGUGUUACUUCCAGGACAACACGGUGAACGACCCCGGAGCCCCCACCGUGGCCCCGCUGUCCCACCGCAUCAAAUGGACCCACGUGGUCAAGAACAAGGUCAGCACCAUCCUGGUGGCGUCGGAGGGGAAGGUCCAGGUGGAGACGGACUACCUGGACAGAGUGACCCUGGUCAACUACCCCCUGGUGCCCACCGACGCCACCAUGGAGCUGACCGAGCUGCGCUCCAGAGACUCCGGAACCUACCGCUGUGAGGUCAUGCACGGCAUCGAGGACAACUACGACUCUGUGGACAUCCAGGUCCAGGGUAUUGUGUUCCACUACAGAGCCAUCUCCACCCGGUACACUCUGACCUUUGAGAAGGCCAAGGCCGCCUGCAUCCAGAACAGCGCCUCUAUCGCCACGCCAGCUCAGCUUCAAGCCGCUUACGACGACGGAUACCACCAGUGUGACGCAGGAUGGCUGUCGGACCAGACCGUCAGGUAUCCCAUCCAUGAACCUCGGGAACGUUGUUUUGGAGACAAGGAGAACUUCCCUGGAGUGAGAACCUAUGGAGUGAGAGAUGCCAAUGAGACGUAUGAUGUGUACUGUUUCGCUGAGAAGAUCUCAGGCCGAGUCUUCUACUCCACAUCUGUUGAGAAGUUUUCCUUCUAUGAAGCCGCAGAUCAGUGCACAAAGCUGGGCGCUCGUCUGGCCACCACUGGGGAGCUGUACGUGGCCUGGAAGAACGGUAUGGACGUGUGCAGCGCCGGCUGGUUGGCUGACCGCAGUGUCCGCUACCCCAUCAACAUCGCCCGGCCUCAGUGUGGAGGAGGGCUGCUGGGGGUCCGGACCGUCUAUCUGUUCCCCAACCAGACCGGAUACCCCUACCCCGACUCCAGAUACGACGCCAUCUGCUUCCAAGCUGGUGAGGACGAAGGUGCCGUCCCUCAGAGGACCACCCCGUUCCCAGACAUCAUCCACCAAACCCCGGCCCCAGCCAGUCCCUACCCCGGCCUCACACCCCCUCCUGGAGGAGAGGAGGUCCGACAUGGAGAGGUGGACACCCUGUCCCCUCUGGCCGUCCCACCAAGUGUGACCGACUCCUACUCUGGAGUGACCGCAGUGGGACCGGACGUCCACAUGUCCCCGACAGGUGUGGUGUUUCACUAUCGACCAAUCACAGGUCGGUACACUCUGACCUUUGUGGAGGCUCAAGAGGCGUGUCAGAGCGUUGGCGCCAUCAUCGCCAGCCCUCAACAGCUUCAGGCCGCCUUCGAGAAAGGACUGCACCAGUGCGACGCCGGGUGGUUACGAGACCAGACUGUCAGGUAUCCCAUCGUAUCUCCCAGAGGUAACUGUGCAGGAAAUCUUCUUCAAUUUCCUGGAGUCAGAUCAUAUGGUCUGAGGCCUGCCUUCGAACGCUAUGACGUCUUCUGUUAUGUGGACCGUUUGAGAGGUGAGGUUUUCUACACCAGUGACUACGACAGUUUCUCAUACGACGAAGCCGUGCAGCACUGUCAAAAACUGAACACCACCCUGGCCACACCUGGUCAGCUGUACGCUGCCUGGAAACAGGGUCUGGAUAAAUGUAGGCCAGGCUGGCUCCUGGACCGAAGUGUCCGCUACCCCAUCACCACACCCAGAACCCAGUGCGGAGGAGGACAGGUGGGGGUCCACAUCAUCUACGCCUUCCCCAACCAGACGGGGUUUCCAGACGAGCACUCCCGCUACGACGCCUACUGUUACAAAGCUGCACCAUCACUCAUUCACGUUGAAAAUGACACCAGUGUCACCGUGACGACAGUAAAACAGGAAGUUGAUCCCAGGACAACUGUUGUACCUGAUCACUUUGUCUCGACUGUUCAAACAACAACACCACCACCACCAACAACAACAACUGUGAGCUACAACGACACCAAGAUCCAUGUAAAUACCACUGAGAUAGAAGAGGAGGUCAUUGGCAAAGCGACGGCACCGACUCAGGAACACAUGGCUCCAACCAUGUUUCCUUCAGUGUUUCCCUCAGUCCAACCUUCAGUCCCAGUUGAUGUGUCUGGUUCUGGUUCUGGUUCUGGUUUGGCCGAACCCUCAGCCAGUGGUGACGGUUCAGGGGAGUCGAGCAGUUCCGGCCCCAGUGGUGACGUUUCUGGUUCAGGACUUGACGUGGUCUUCAGCGGCCGUCAUGACCAGGUUUCCGGUGUGGGGUCAGCCUCUGGAGGUCCACAGGAGGCCGAGGGAGGGAGCGCCGUCAUCUUCUCAUCUGGAGAACAAGGAAGUGCAUCUGGAUCUGGGUUCCAGUCUGGGUUCAGUGUGUCUGGAUCUGCCAGUGGGGAUGUCAGUGGAGAGACUGAAAUCCUCCUGGUGGACCAACAAAUGGAGAAACUGACCCAAACACAGACAGAGCAGGAAUUAGGACAGGGGAGUAUCGAGACCAGCGGUGUGUCUGGAUUUGGAUCAGGAGCUGAGUCUGGAUCAGGCUCUGGUGGGUUUUCUGGGGUGUUGCUGGUGGACCACAGUUUGACGGACCGCACAGUCCACCCAUCUGUAGAGCAGGAGGUGUCUGGGUACCGUCCUUUGGGAUCAGGACUCCACAGCGGUUUUCCCAGUGGUUUUCCCUCUGGAAGCGGUUCAGUUUCCGGAGACAUGUUCCAGCAUCGUGGUGAUGUGAUCUAUAUCACAGACCGAGACCAGGACCUGACGGAGGUGACGGUGCGGCCAGAGGAGCGUCAGCCGGAGCAGGGUCGGGGGGUGGUGGAGGUGAGCGGCGAGGGCAGCGGGUCAGGGGUCACCGGUGAACAAACAGCCAGCACCGACCAAUCAGGAGAGGAGGAGCAGGACAUCCACACCGUGACCCAGGAUACAACCUACACCAGUCCAACCACAGCUCCAUCUGUGUCUCUGGCACCCCCUGCUGUGGUGGAGCCGCCUGCAGUUGCAACAGCAGCACAGACGUGUGCCGAGGGCUGGAUGGAGUUCAGGGGCAGCUGUUACCUGCACUUUGAAGAGAGAGACACGUGGUCGGAGGCAGAGCAACGCUGUCAGCAGCUCAACGCUCACCUGGUCAGCAUCGGCUCCCAGGAGGAGCAGCAGUUUGUCAACUCCAACGGUCAGGACUACCAGUGGAUUGGACUCAAUGACAAAGAUGUCCAAAACGAGUUCCGCUGGACGGACGGCAGUCCUCUGACUUUUAUGAACUGGAGACCCAACCAGCCUGAUAACUACUUUGGGACUGGUGAGGACUGUGUGGUGAUGAUCUGGCAUGAAGGAGGACAGUGGAAUGACGUACCCUGCAACUACCACCUGCCCUUCACCUGCAAGGCCGCCCCAGUUACAUGCGGAUCUCCACCUGAGGUGGAACAUGCCCGUCCACUCGGCGGCAGCAGAGAUCAUUAUCCUGUUGACUCAAUAGUCCGUUAUCAGUGCGACACAGGCUUCAUGCAGCGCCACCUUCCUGUCAUACGUUGCAUGGCGGAUGGGCAGUGGGAGGAGCCACAGGUUCAAUGUACACAAGGGAGCGCUGACAGUAACCGGCUACACAAACGAUCUGUCAGGAGGAGUAAAGGCUUCAGACAGGAACAGAGGAAGCUCUGAGCAGGACUGAAACACAAAGGACCCCAAACCCCCAAAACAUAGAGUGGACGCCGCUGUCAUUACUCAACCAAAAACACACCUGCCCCUCUGUACAUUCACAAACACCACAACAUGUUGGAUGUGUAAGUUGUCAUUUGCCCAGGUCAUUGUUCAUCCUUAGCAUGCUUCUAAGUUCAGCAGGAGGUGAUUUAUUUAAAAGGUUUUGUCUCUCAUCCAAGAGACUUCAUCAGUUCAGUUUAAUGGUGGGGGAAAGCAGACUAAUUAUAAACCUGUAGGGGUAGUGGUCUGUGGUCAUUUGUGGGUUUUGUGUCUGAGUUUCAGGGUUAUUUUGAAAAGGUGGAUCGUUGUCCAAGUCUUUUGGGCGUGGGGAUGCUUGACUGCUCUCAGGUGAGUCCAGGUCUGACAGAUUGCUUGUUAAGAAUUACUUAGGGAGGCUGUUUGAAAUAGUGGCAGUGGUGUUACUAUGUGUGAUGGUGAAUACAAAAGGAUCCAUUGGUCCAUGUGGGUUGGUUUCCUGUAAAUGUCUGUGGUUAAUACUUUCUCACUUGGUUGAAUGUUGCAGUCCAGGAAAGGCAGGCUCUUAUCAUAGAUGUUCCUGUGUGAACUUGAUCUUAUGGUCCACUGAGCUGAUGUGUGUGGCCAAGGUGUCCAGGUCUCCUUUCCUUAUCUUGGUCAGGUGUCAAUCAUACACCUGAACCAGUGAGUGGGGGCUGAUGGACCAAUAUUUCCUUUUUGAUUCUCACCACCAACUGAAACACAAAUUGGAAGUCAUCAGAAGCCUCAGUCAUAGAGCAAAGGAAAUCCCUACAGAGGCCGAUAGGAAGAACAAGGAAGAACAAGAAGCCAGGGAGGCAUUGAAGAGCUGUGGCUGCUCUAACUGGGCCCUCCUCAAAGCCAAGGCACCAAGAACCCAGAGGCAACAAAAGAUGGAAGAGCCAGAAAAAGGAGAAGGCAUCAUCAUUCCUUACACAGCUGAAGUCUCUGAGAAACUCCAAAGGAUUUUCAACCAACACAAUAUCAAACCCACCAAUACACAGAGACGUGUUCUAGUUCAUCCCAAGGACAAACUGCCUAAGGAGAGGCAGAGUAACAUGGUAUAUGCUGUUCAGUGCAGUGGCGAAUGGACCGACCUGUACAUUGGGGAAACCAAGCCCCCUCCCCCCACGAACACGUGACCCAGCACAGGAGAACAUGCACCUUAUGACAAGACUCUACAGUCGACCUUCACUUGGAAGAAAAACGACACUCCCUUGAAAACCACAAUGUCAGAAUAUUGACCAGACAAGAGAAAGGGUUUGAGAGAGGAGCCAAAGAAGCCAUCUUUGUAGAAGUGGAAAAACCUUCCCUGAACAGACGUGUUCAGGUUUGUAAAUCUGCUGUCCCUCACCAGCAAAAUGAAGCGGAGGAGAGACGUAAUAUUUUCAAGAACAAAACCAGUCCGGCUGAACAUCGAAAACUACCAAGGAUGAAUGAUGACCCAGACAAAUGAGAACUUACAUAGACAUUUGGGACAGACCCCCUGUGACAGGAACCCAAAUGGAUAUCCAGGAAGCUGGCAGACUUCAGAAACCAUCUAUGUUUCAAUCUGAGAUGUAGAAAACAGAAAAUAAGUCCCAACAGCAAGGCUGCACAAAUUAAUGAAAAAAAGUCAGAUCAACUUCACCAUCAGUGUGGACUGACAAACAGGACAGAAGAAAUACUAACUAAAUUAACCAACCUCCUGCCCAAGGAAAUCCUCUCAGAACUUUCCAGAUUUACUGAAAGGACACAACUUGCCAAACAUACCAAGAGUAAGGACAGACAGGUACAUACAUUUCUGCCAUUACGAAACAGAGAGCUUCAGCCAUAACAAACAACACAGCUCAGAUAGACUGUCAGAAGCAGUGGGUCAGAAAUCUGUCAGAAUUAGUCAGAAGACUUAACUUUGCUGUAACCCCACAGACUGCUGUAAGGGGUUAAUCUUAUCACAACUACGGAGUCUGUAGACAACAAGUUUGCGGACACAGAAUAGAGGCUAAGACUGCAGUUGGUCUUCACUUGGAAGAAACAGGACCUUCCUUUGAUGACAGCAAUGUCCGAAAAUUGGCCAGAGAAGAGAAGGGCAUUGAGAGAGGAGUCAAAGAAGCCAUCUUUAUACAAGUGGGAAAUCCAUCCCUGAACAGAGGUGGUGGUCUGGGACACUGCUUAUCAAAAACUUACACCAUUUUAAACAGCCCCCCCCCCCCCCCCCCCAAGCAAUUCUCACCGAGCAAACUGUUACACCUGGACUCACCUGACAGCGAUCAAGUCCCUCCCCUGAACGACUUGGACAGCGACUUCCCCUUUCUCAAUGACCUUGAAACUUAGAAUCACAUUUCUAUGUACCCGAUACUUCGGGUCGUUAACAUAUGGGGAAAACAACCUACACAGACCACUCCCCCUACAGGUUCAUAAGUCCAUUUCUACAGGUUUAUAAGUCCACUUCUACAGGUUUAUAAGUCCAUUUCUACAGGUUUAUAAGUCCACUUCUACAGGUUUAUAAGUCCACUUCUACAGGUUUAUAAGUCCACUUCUACAGGUUUAUAAGUCCACUUCUACAGGUUUAUAAGUCCACUUCCUCUACAGGUUUGUAAGUCCACUUCUACAGGUUUAUAAGUCCAUUUCUACAGGUUUGUAAGUCCACUUCUACAGGUUUAUAAGUCCAUUUCUACAGGUUUAUAAGUCCACUUCCUCUACAGGUUUAUAAGUCUACUUCCUCUACAGUUUUAUAAGUCCACUUCUACAGGUUUAUAGGUCCACUUCCUCUACAGGUUUAUAAGUCCACUUCUACAGGUUUAUAAGUCCACUUCUACAGGUUCAUACAUCUGCUUUCCCCCACCAGAAAUUAGAACUAAUGGAGUCUUUUGUAUGAGAGGUGAAACAUUUUCAAGAACUAAGCCAGUCCAGGUGAACUUCAGAAACUGCUUUGGACCACAAUAACACAUUAACCCCGUGUGAGUGCGUCAUGUAAGGACAGGACUCUGGGUGUCACCUCAGUGUUAAUACUCUGUAUUUAUAGCUAUGAUCCAGAAACAUGAUCUAGUGCAGAGCAGCGCUGCACAUCAUGUUAAAUUAAAUCUCCGACCGUGAAUGAAGAAACUUGGAGGUGACACUCAGAGUCCAGAACAGAAGCUGGUUCCUCUGAGCUCAUUUUUACAAACAUUUUAGUGUUUCUUAGUGUUUUAUUUUUUUGUCUUAGACUCUGAGGACAAUGUGCUUUGACUGGUGUUGCUGAAAUGAUGUGACAAACGAACACAGUGACUCUCAAGCUGAUUAGCCGUGAUCCCUGAAAACAGACCACCUAAACAUAGGAAUAUGUCAUUCAGUGUUUUCGUGGUAGCGGCCGGCGGUUUGAGAAGCACCAGUGUCAGUUAUACUGAGAUGAUUGUGCUGUUCCAUGUGAUGAGUCGAAAUCCAAGUUCUGGACACAAUUAAAGUCAGCAGAUGAGGAUUGAAACAGUCAGCACUCAUGCACUUUUGGGAGUGGUCAGUCAGUUCUAAAUCCAGUGCACCUUAAAAACAAACAGUACAGACAUCGGUGUGACACUGAACUACGGGAGGACGCUGCAUUCACGAAAGACGACUAAACAAGAUGACAUGACUCAUAAACAUGAGGAAAGUUCAGCCUAGUUGUCAGUCACCACAUAACAUGUCCUUCCUAAAGUUAGGUCUGAGUUUAUCAGAACCUGACACUGACAGAAGUGAUGGGAAUCUCCAUAGCAACCGUACAGACACUACUCGACCCCCUGCCUGUUAAACUGAACCUCCGCUGUUGAACGGUACUAAUACUUAUGGUGAUGGCUAACGAGGCUGAACCUUUGUCGUACUUAUGGGAUCAGAUGUCGUAUCUUUUGUGAAUGUGAGGUGGUUGGUUCUGAACAGACUGGUUUUAGUCCAGUUUAACCCUCGGGUCACCUGUUCUGCUGGUACAGGUUCAUACAGUAUUAGCCUCUGUACUGAUUCAAUGAGAAAUCUUCUACAAACAGCAGGAUCUGUCCACAGGAAACCCAGAGCAGACUGCUCAACUGUCCCAUGUCGGAGCUCGUGUCUUUGAUUAUUAAAGGUAGACUCACAAACUAACAGGUUUAACAGCAAGAUGGGGUUUGUCAUGUGACCUGAAAGGUUUAUUGAGAGAAAAAAGCUGUGAAAGUGGCGCAGGAGCCUGAAGUCCAGAUAGCUGAGGUUUGUGCCGUUUAACUGGAUAAACAUAUGACUUUUUAGAUUAAACAUCUUCAUUAAUGCAGUUUGUAAUCUUAUUUCAUGUCAGAGGAUGGAGCGCAGUGAUGUGAAGACAGGACUGGCUUUGUAGGAAAUGUGUGACUGUAUGCAGGACUGCUCUUUGAGAUUUCACUAAAUACAGCAAAAAAAACCUGUACAAAUGCAUUGAUUUCCAGGUGGAUGGUGUAUAAAUGUCCAAGCCUGGCUGUUUCAGACUAUAGUUUAGAAACAGUUCAGGUUUAAACCGGUCUCCAGUUUUCAGACGUUCUUGGUAUCCAUCAGUCGUUGAAUAUCUAGUCCAGGAUUUCUAGAAUCACAGUUCAAGUGUGAUAGUUUUUGCAUCCAUUUCUGAUUUAGAUUUGACAGAAAAGAGGCUCUGGGAAAUAUUCAAAGCAAUCUGCUGUAAAAUCCACUUAUUUAUGACAAAUGUUAUUUAUGACAAAUGUUAUUUAUGACAAACGUAGCUGCAUUUGUCCCUUUGAAGAUGAAAUGCAGACCAAAGCCCAGUGAUUUACAGAAUCUAAAAUAUGAGUUCAACCCAACUGCGCAUUAAACCCAGUACUAAACCACAGCACGUUUCUGUUCAAAUCGACAAAAAAAAUUCAGUUUUUAUAUUAAUAUAUUUUACACAAUUUACAUUAAACCAAAUCAGUCUCCAAUAAUGGUGGACAGAACUGAUCUGAGGACCUGCCUGAGAAUCAGAAACCUGUAACUGAGGACUUCACACAACAUUCGUUUGUCUGGGUCUGUGAGGCACUGGGAAAAGUGGAGGGAAUCACCAUAGCAACCAUAUAUGAAGGGCAGGAAUUGCUAUGGAAACUAUAUAUUAAGGUGGGAAUCACCAUAGCAACCAUUUAUAAAGGGUGGGAAUCGCUAUAGAAACCAUAUAUUAAGUCGGGAAUCGCCAUAGCAACCAUUUAUAAAUGGUGGGAUUAGCCAUAGCAACCAUAUAUGAAGGGCGGGAAUCGCCAUAGCAACCAUAUGUGAAGGGCGGGAAUAGCAACAAUUCUUCUUCUCUUUGUAAGUUGUCAGACAUUUUAAGAUUGAAGGGACACAACAAACUGAAUGUGAAUGGUGUUUUUGGGUUUAAAGGCGCUGCGCAGACCCUGCUCUCUGGAAUCUUCAGUGAAUGCGACACAGACUAUGGAGAGCCUCUUGCUGCGAACUCUGAAUAGGUUUGUUUCGAUGUGGAAGUGGACGUUGAGUCAAUAUUUGAUGGAUUUUGUGUAGAAAAUGAGCUGGUUGUGUCAGUGACAAAUAAACCAAAACGAACCCUGGUGUGACUUAGUUCAGAUCCCCAAACUGAAUGUGAACAUGCGAUUUACUGUACUGUGCUGAACCAAAUAAAAGUCGGAAUCAUG